rnacentral:rRNA from 1 species
AUGUCCAUUCCCCUUCCUCGCGUCGUUCUCCUCCUCCCCCACACAAGUCCGACGCUGCCAUCGCCGUGCCGUCGCCGUACACGUGACCAUCGGCCAUCGUUCGCCGCAUCUCCGUGUCCAGAAGAACCGCAUCCACCGUCUACGUCUCCUGCUACACCGACACGACGCCGGGGAGCCCUGCAACGACGGGAUCGAUCCAUCUUCAACCUUCGGUCGCAGCCGUUCGAUGCGUCGAUCCGCGCGCCUCCGAUAACCCCGAGCCUUCCCCAGGCAUCACAAUGCUGGAGCCCAGGAGCCAGACGCCACCGUCGACGACGACCCCUACUAUACCGGAGGUGCCUACUACUACGUGCAUCCUGCUGA